rnacentral:lncRNA from 11 species
CAAAGUCUGAAAUGACUUGAAGGCACACAACAACAACAACCCUAAUUAACUUGACUAUCUUUUCCCCAUGCCUGGUCUACACUGUAGAAUUAAUGGGGGUGUGGAUAACUCCUUUUAAUUAUUCAAUUCUGGUGGCCAUAUUAAGCCCUCAGGAACAAUGCCGCCAUUUUGUGGUUUGGGAAGAGCACAAAAGGUUGAUAAUAUGCCACAGUGUUAACUGACAGGAUUGGUGGCCACAAAAUGGCCGCCAUUCCUCAAAGACAUCAAAACACUGAAGAGAGCGGCCAUUUUGUUUCUUUCCCAAUUGAUAAGCAGACAUUUUGUUUCCUGAAGAAUAAUAUUUCAUGGCCUAUACAUGUUCUCCUCAGAUAUCAGACAUUAUUUUGUGGUUUGGGAAGAGCACAAAAGGUUGAUAAUAUAUGUCCACCAUCCCUCAAAAACAUCAACACACAGAAGAGAGCAGCCAUUUUGUUUUUUUCCAAAUUAAGGAGGAGCAGCCAUUUUGUUUCCUGGAAAAUAAUAUUUCAAGGCCUACACAUGUUCUCCUCAGAAGUCAGACACUAUGGCAUCAUUUUGUAGUUCGGGAAGAGCACAAAAGGCUGAAAAUAUGCUGCAGUAUUUACUGACAGGAUUAGUAGCCACAAAAUGGCCGCUAUUAACACUGAAGAGAGCGGCCGUUUUACUUCUUUCCCAAUUGAUGAGCAGCCAUUUUGUUUCCUGGAGAAUAAUAUUUUACAGGUUCUCCUCAGAAGUCAGUGGCUUAUAUAUCCUAAACCUCAUGCAGCUAUAUAUAUAUACAUUAAUAGAAUCUUUGUUUUCCCACAAGAUGGCGGCUCCAAGCCUUUAUGAGGCCAGAGACAAAAUGGCGCCCAAUAGUCAACUCCCAUGAUUUCAUACCAUUGCGCCAUGGCAGUUUAAAGUGGCGCUGAACCGCAUUAAUUCUACUAUGUAGAUGCACCCCGAUUCUAGCAUUCUGCAAUAUUUAAUAUACCAUCAAGUUUGCGACAAGGAAUCUCAAAGAGAUGGACGAGAUACAAGAGCCAUGGCAGUUAAAAAAUAAUGAUAUCGAACUGCAUUAACUCUGCAGCGUAGAUGCACCAUUAAUCCUGCUGAGAACACUUAAAAUCUCCAUUAUCUAGUUCAUAAUAAUAACAAGUUUCCAGGCAAGAAUAUAAAAGAUUUUGGGGAGGAGGGGGGAAACAAAAGAAGAAAAGGAGCAUGUGUUUGUGCGAAGGGCAGGAGAAACACAAGAGGGCUCGGCGGUACCUUAAUUUUUAAUAUAUAUAUAAAAAAUAUCUAUAUACAUUUUAUUAUUAUAUUAGGAAAUAUCUCAGGAAGGGGGAAACAAGGGGGAUUCAGGGUCACAGAUUGUGAGGUUAGAAACAUGCAUGGGCCAACUUGGGCCCUCCAGGUGUUUUGGACUCCAACUCCCACAAUUCCUAACAGCCUACCGGCUGUUAGGAAUUGUGGGAGUGGAGCCUAAACACCUGGUGGGGAGGCCCAAGUUUCCCCCACCCUGGGUUAGAAGAAUGAGCCAAAGAAGCCUUCCAGAAGGGGAGAAAAGAUGGGGGCCGGGUUUUUGGAAAGCAGCAAAGCUUCUAUAUUUUAGGACGGAAAAGAAUAUGGGAAUUGUCUAGUAGCCAGGGUUAGGGCCUCUAGGACGAGGAGGAAGAGGAGCAGUGGCCAAGAUGGGA